rnacentral:lncRNA from 1 species
GUAAAACAAUCAAAACAAAACAAAACAAGAAUGUGUCCUCGGUACACGAAUGCCCCACUCGCACUAUCAUUUUCCAUGUUCAGUGGACCGUGAAAUUGGGGUAAAAGCUCUAAUUUGGCAUUAAAAUUAGAAAGAUCAUAUCAUAGGGAACAUGUGUACUAAGUUUGAAGUUGAUUGGACUUCAACUUCAUCAAAAACUACCUUGACCAAAAACUUUAACCUGGAGCGGGACAGACGGACGAACGGACAGACGAACGGACGGACGGACGGACGAACGGACGCACAGACCAGAAAACAUAAUGCCCCUCUACUAUCGUAGGUGGGGCAUAAAAA